CUCCUCUCAGGAUCACACCUGGAGAGUUUCCAGGAAUCUGCCAGUCGCAGCUACGGAGGGACAGUCAAGCAGAGGCCUACCAAUUCCAUUCCUAGCUUGGGUAGUGGCUAGGGAGUGGAAGGCAAUCUGCUACUAGU
rfam:Ornithorhynchus anatinus chromosome 6, whole genome shotgun sequence.